UACAGAGGGUGCGAGCGUUAAUCGGAAUUACUGGGCGUAAAGCGUGCGCAGGCGGCUUUGCAAGACAGAUGUGAAAUCCCCGGGCUCAACCUGGGAAUGGCAUUUGGGACUGCAAGGCUUGAGUGCGGCAGAGGAGACUGGAAUUCCUGGUGUAGCAGUGAAAUGCGUAGAUAUCAGGAGGAAUACCGAUGGCGAAGGCAGGUCUCUGGGCUGACACUGACGCUCAUGCACGAAAGCGUGGGGAGCAAACAGG
rnacentral:rRNA from 1 species